rnacentral:misc_RNA from 1 species
CAAACCGCAGGCGGUGUCUCACAACUACUAGUCUUUUGAACGAGAGAAGACUGAUUGGUAACCUUAGUUUCCUCACCUUCCGCUCCAUGGCCUCUUCUUCACAGAACUCUAAGAAUGUCACAAGCAGCGCAAAGUUCAGCUUCUGCAUCUUCUUCUACUAGUCCGGUUGAUAGGGACACUGGAGCUACUGCUUCUCCUUCUUUUUCUUCUUCGAUCAAUAGGGAUUCGUCUGGCGCUGCUUCAUCGUCUUAUUCUCAUUUUCGCGAAGAAGGAGAUUACCAAUUUCAAGAGUUAGUUUCGGAGCAGCAGCAACACAUUGGUUUAUUUCGAGGAAAUUUGUUUGCCUUCGGUGAUGUUUCAGCGAUUAGUGAUGAUACUUGGUCCUGUGUCAUUGUCGUCCUCACCUUUUGGUUAUUCGUAUCAAUGGCUCUGAUUCUGGGAGUCUAUGGUUCUGUGAAUAUAGUCAUAGGACCCAAUUCCUCAGUUCUUAUUCAACCGAGUCCCUUAUUUGUGCAGUCUGUAAAGGUGGAAGAAGUGGAUGGUAAUAAUCCUGGGCUCAUGCUGUAUGGAUUUUAUAAACCUCCAUCACUUGAUGUCGUGAAGUCCUGGAUCAAAUCUGUUAAUGUAUCUGUUCUAGCUGAUUCUCACAAGGAGUUGAUAUAUUUCCUGAAUGAGGGAUCUCAAAUAAAUAUUUCAUACCAUGUGAACUCCCCGAGCUCAUCGCUUUUUCUUGUAAUUGCCCAAGGUACUUUUAUAACUUUUCUAGGUAUUUUCUUCGCGAAAUUAUCUCUUUAGCUUCCCUCCCUUUUCCUCUUCUCCUUAAAGUAGUCAUUUUUACAUACUCCUACGAAUGAAUGCAAAAGCAUCAAGUCGAUAGAAGUUGAAUGCUCGCUUCUUUCUUCAUGUAUAAGCUUUGGAUACAAUACACUCUUAAGGAAUGCAUGUGAAAUCAUCAUAAUCAUGGAAAUUGAAUGCCUUUAAUUUUUCCCCCUUUUUCUGUACGCAUUUUGGAUAUAUUUUUAUAUGCCAUGAGACAUCUAAGAGUACAGUAGCCAUCAUAAUAAAUAUUUAUUUUUGAGCAAUUAAUUAAUGAUAUUACACCGUGAAAGCCAGAAAUUCUCAUAAAAUUCUGAAGCAUUAAGGCUAUACUUCUUAUAGGUUCCCAUUGCUUUUAUUGAUGACUAUCUCUCACAAAUAUGUUGUAGACAAUGAGUCACACGAGUUAAGUGAAGCUAACAAUGGAAGGCAAUUGCCUAUUUUUCUGUUGAUGCCCCUUUAAUCACUUAUCUGUGUUUCACAAUGCUGACAGCUUCUUAAUCAUUGCCCACACCUGAGAAAAACAUAGUUGAUUUAUCUAUAUUUUCUUCCACAUAAUCAUGAUUCAUGAACAUUGAUGUUGAUUUUUGGUGACAAGGAAUUUUAUAUUAAGAUAUCAAGAAAUUGUUACUUUUCCUCUAUUUGUUGACUAUGAGACAAAGCAUGAACAUUGGAAUGUGAGCAAUUACUUUUAUAGAAGUUGGACCAGGGAGAAUAAAAAAUUUUCCUUAAUCUAUACUCUAUGGCCACAAUAGUUAUGCUUGCAUUCAAUCAACUCACUAUCAUAGUUGUCAAAGGCGUGCCUGAGGCACAAGGUGCGUCGGGCUCAAAGGGGAUCGCCUCAGGCACCAAAAGAUGGGCAACCUCACCAAGGCGCAAUAAGGUGCAAGGCGUGCCUGGUUGAUGUGGGGGAAGAAAAAGGCCAAAAAGGGAAAAAAAAGGAGG